UUAUGGCCAUAUCACGUUGGAACAUCAGUUGCCGUACGAUCACCGAAGUUAAGCAACGUCGAGUCAGGUGAGUACAUGGAUGGGUGACCGAUUGGGAAUAUCAGUUGCUAU